UAUUAUUAUUUAUUAUAUGCAUAAUGUCCUGGAUCCAUUAAAUAACUGGCCGUUAAAAAUAAAAAUGUGCCUGCCUCUAUGGGAAUUUAACAUAGGGCUGUGUUGGGUUAUUUUGUG